GGACAGGUGGCCGAGUGGUUAUGGCGCGUGACUCAAGAUAGUUAUAUAUCUUACUUUGUGGUAACACGAAGGAGCAUUCUCGUAGAGAAAUCUGCAGGGGUUCGAAUCCCCUCCUGUUCA
rnacentral:tRNA from 1 species